rnacentral:sRNA from 1 species
AUCUAGCUACAGAUCACACAUAGCACCGGCAGCAGCAAUGCAAUUUUCCCCACAUUGUACUGUGUCUAUAUGUGCCUUAACCCUGACCUGGAAGCAUCAUCUCUAAGCAUAGG